rnacentral:rRNA from 1 species
UACUUCUUCGGACAAUAAUACAAGGUGCUGCAUGGUUGUCGUCAGCUCGUGCCGUGAGGUGUCGGGUUAAGUCCCAUAACGAGCGCAACCCCUACUCAUUAGUUGCCAUCAGGUCAAGCUGGGGACUCUAAUGAAACUGCCUACGCAAGUAGUGAGGAAGUGGGGAUGACGUCAAAUCAGCACGGCCCUUACGUCCAGGGCUACACACGUGCUACAAUGGCCGGUACCAAAGGGCAGCUACCUGGUGACAGGAUGCUAAUCUCAAAAGCCGGUCUCAGUUCGGAUCGGAGUCUGCAACCCGACUCCGUGAGGCUGGAAUCGCUAGUAAUCGCGCAUCAGCCAUGGCGCGGUGAAUACGUUCCCGGGCCUU